AUUCAUGAUCAUGCUAACAAGCACUUUUUUUUUUUUUUGACAAAUGCAAGAAGAUUUCAUUAACUUGAAUAUAAUACAGCCGAGACAAAUCCCCAACUGCCGAUACAACCAGGUGGUAAAACAAAUAACAUACUAAAAACAAUUAGAUGAUUUGUUUCCUGAUCGUUUAACACAUAGAAUUUAAAAAUUCUUGAAACUAAAAACGAAAUCAAAGACAUCCCAAAUGAUCCAAACUGCACCAACAUCUCUGGAAAUAGUACCAUCGCAAUUGACCGUAUCACGUAAAACCCAUUGUUAGCCCAAUGUUCAAAAACAACAAUCGUAUGAAUUGAGAUUGGAGAAACGGCACCACAGCUAUCUACAUGCCGGACACCAGCUAUAGACAUGCCGAAGGCACCCCAGCUAUCUACAUGCCGGAUACCAGCUAUAGACAUGCCGAAAGUGUAACCCCGUGAAGAAUGAACAAUCUUUGAUUGUGAAAGGUGAGCUCUUGCAAUAAUCACCACCGUCUCAGAAUCAAUACAGUCUUUGCAGAUCACCAAAAAUAUCAAUAAACUCGUUUUCAAUAGAUCCAACACCAAAUGAACCCAAUCACAACCAGACAAAAACAUAACAAAACACUCCAAAAGGAGAGACAAGACACACACUCCAAGAGGAGAGACACACAAACACCCAAAAGAUUGGGUUUUAUUGAAAGGAAAUUAACGAGAAUAAAGAAAAAAUGAAGGGGUUGGGGCUUUCCACCGGAGAAAACCAGUGGAAGCCCCUUGAUUUACUUGAAAAUGCACAAACCCUAGAUGAGAGGAGGAGAGGAGGGAGGCCACUGAUGUUAGAUGAUAAAGGUCAGAUGUAUUAGUUUGUUCGACUCGACUUUAAGUAAAUUGAAAAAUGCGAGAGUGAAGUACGGGGAGAUGGGAUGGGAUGUGAAAAUAUGCUAACAAGCACUUAAAACUAAGUAAUGAGUAAUUUGCGGGGAGGAAAGAGAAGUAUCUGAAGAGCAACAGGAGAGAGAUGCGAGUUUAUCAUGUGGAGCCCUGUAACUUGACGGUUUACAUUAUAUUUGUGAAAGAAGCUGGAAAAGGAUAUGUUUUCACUGAAAUUUUUAUGUUCGGUUGAUAUAAAUCAUAUGCUAUAAUUAAUUUUUACAUUGCAGAUGCCAUUGCUAAGAGGUUCCCAAUCCCCCUUAAUGUGCAUUAUGGAAGGAAGCAAAAGAGUCGAGAGAAAAAAAUGAAGUCAUUAUACGACAAUGGCUCUGUCCACGGUCAAGAGAUGCUUGAGCUCACUGAAGACAAUAUGGCAGUGAAAUUUUCUAGUGGAUUAUCAAAUCUUGCUUCUUUGUCCCUUUCCAUUUCAUACCCUAGUAUCGCUGCAGCACCGUGCAUGUUCAGCAACGCCUAUAAAAAUGUCUUGGCUUUGUCUCUGGCAACAGACUACACCUACAAGCAGGCUGAGAAAGUUAAGGAGUUUUUGAAGGAUCCGUCCAAGCAUGCUUGUUCUGUGGUUUCGGUUGCUUCAUUUGGUGAUCAGGUUCCUGCGAAGUAGGCAGCAAAGAAGGAAGAGCCUGAAGAUGAAUUAAUGACAAUGUUGUCUCUGUUGUGUAUGAUUAAGUGGAGUUUAGUAGUCCUAUUUCUAACGACAUUGUGUGUUUUAUUAUCAGUGUCAGCCCAACAACUAAUUUUUACUUACGUGGAAAAUUUUGAUUAGCGACGAUUUUUGUGCAUGGGACUAUCAUUAUUAGCGAUAUUGGAACAUGUUCGGACUUUCACAUCCCGAGCGAGGAGAUACAUGACCAAAUCCUGAACUCUGCUGGUGGUCUUUUGAUUAUCUUUGACAUAGCCUGAUCAUCAUCAUCCUUAUUACAACCCUUAUCACUCCUGUAAGCAACAUCAUCCAUUCUUUUUAUGUUCUUCGUUUGUAUAUUCAUUGAAAUUUUGUGUGAUUGUAUGAAUAACAUUUAUAAAUUGUGUAUUUCGUUGCAUGUAAUCAUGUUU